UACGGGGGGGGCAAGCGUUGUUCGGAAUUACUGGGCGUAAAGGGCUCGUAGGCGGCCAACUAAGUCAGACGUGAAAUCCCUCGGCUUAACCGGGGAACUGCGUCUGAUACUGGAUGGCUUGAAUCCGGGAGAGGGAUGCGGAAUUCCAGGUGUAGCGGUGAAAUGCGUAGAUAUCUGGAGGAACACCGGUGGCGAAAGCGCGAGACUGGGCCGUAACUGACGCUGAGGAACGAAAGCCAGGGGAGCGAAAGGG
rnacentral:rRNA from 1 species